UCUAUAUCUAUAUCUAUAUCUAUAUCUAUAUCUAUAUCUAUAUCUAUAUCUAUAUCAUCUAUAUCUAUAUCUAUAUCUAUAUCUACUCACUAUAACUAUCUUUAAGUGGCUAAUAAAGCUGUGUGAAACUUGCUUCCCACUUGUUCUUUCAGAGAAGCUGUACAUUUUUUCUCAUCAAAACAAGAUGCUGCUGGCCAUUUCUCUGCUCUAGACUGGAAGUUAAUUCUCCUGGAGCAAUUGUGAACCAACUAAGUAUUGCAAAUAUGAUAGCUGUAAUAUAUAAUAGAUGGCUGACUGCCAGUCUUAAUACUCUUUUUGUUACUAACUGAAGUAUGUAAUUUACAUUCUAUUCUACUUUUUGCAGAAGUUGCACUCAGGUAUUUCUCAAAAGAUAUUUCCCCAUCAAGAAAUAAUUUUCUGAAUAUUAAUAAUGUUAAAAAGCCCUGCAGAACACUAGACAAGCUUUAUGGAAGGUUUAAUAACCACUUAAAAACAUAAUCUUUAGUUAAUUGUUUUAAGUAUAGGCCUGCCAAUCAAGAUACAAAAAUAUGCAUGGCUGCUAGCAAAUCACUGUAAGAAUUUUAACUUGAUGUUUGCACAAUUUGAGAGGAAAUCUGUGUUGAUACUGUGAAAGGUAGAGAAAAUUAUAGACAAAUAAUUUAAAGUUCCCUAUUUGAAAUAUGAUUUUAAAGUCAAUAUCUAUAUUCAUGACCUCAGAGCAAUGAGGAAAGGAAGUACAGGAAAAAUGCAAGAAGUUUGAUUCAGUAGAUACUUUACCUGCCAUGCAUCCUUGUGUGGGUGAGUUGUUGGCCUGGCACUGCAUAAUUCUAACAAGGAUGGUUGGGUUUUUUUCAGGAGUUGAACUUUAAUGAUUUUUAUGGGUCCCUUCCAACUCAGGAUAUUCUAUGAUUCUGCGAUUCUAUGAUUUACUUAUAGGGAUUUUAUUUAGUGGAUCCUAUAAUGGAUUUAUAAUUGAUUCAUUCUUGACUCCAUUUAUUUUCUUAAAGGAGGCUUUUGAAUGUCAGCAACAUUUGCCUGAAAUCAGGAAAGCCUGGCUUUCAGGAGCCCCAGAAAGUGAGUGGCAGAAAUCAUCUCUGUGGACACCUCUUAGAAGCAACUGUAUUCUUCUAGGACUUAAAGAAAAUGUUGAAUUUUUGAAAAACAGAGAGUGUAAGCUAAUAUUUUUGGCUCAGGAUAAGUGGAAAAAAACCAAAAAAGAACAAAACUCAGCAUCAGAUGCAGUGUCAUUGCAAUGAGCAAUCAACUGUCACGUACACCAUGAAGGCCAAGUAAAAUUACAGUUCAGUGCAUUCCCAAGAGUCCUAUCACUGUAUACCAGGGAGAAGAGACCAACACCUUGUUCUGCACUUCCUCUCUUUGGGAAGCUGGAGAGAGACAUGAGGUCAUCCCUUCUCCAAGCCAGACAAACCCAAAGUCUGCAGCUCCCCUUCACAGGAUGUUCAUUUCAGCCCUUGCAUCAGCUGCUCUUCAUGCCUUC
rnacentral:lncRNA from 1 species